GCGCAAGUUCGCAGUGUCGCGUUCGGCACAAGACUGUCCGCUUCUCGCUGAACGCGAAAUACAAAGUAUAGCCUCCAGUUUCCAACGAUGCUCAGAUGUUUUCUGCUUAAGUGAUUUAAAGAAGGAGAUCUUUACUGUUUUCACCACAAGAUUGGAAUAAUUACGUCCCCCUUUCACGUUUAGUGAAGCAACACGCUAAAACAGCACAUUUCAGGCCAGAUGGCUUUGAAACAAUAUGAUUUUUUCAUGAUUUUUUCCCCCGACUGAUCUUCCAGAGGUCUUUAAACGGCUUAACUUUUUUGGAGAACAACAAUAAAGACGACGAACAAAACACGAAUAGAUAAUUAUCCCAAAAAUGGAGUUCACGGUUAUAGAAACGAUUCCCCUUUGCUAAGCAGUGAAAUGUUUUUUUUCUGUUUGGAAAUGAACCACAUUUGGCAUCCAAGUGUAUAAUAAUGGAUCUGUCCGCACGGAGGAACAAUCAGGGGAUCUCAGAGGCAUCGUGUGGUAGUCGUGUUUUGGUGGAUGAAGAUGGAGGUCCAGUGGCUGAGAAUGCAUCACCUUUCACCUGUUUAGGCUUGCCAGAUCCGGCGGGCGGCAUGACUGAACACGUGCUGGGAGAGUACCGCCGCUCAGGAGGGCAUCGGAGAAAUUCCUGUCAUCUAGCGGACCGGAGGGUGCCAGUAUUAAUAAGCCCAUAUAUUCACUCCCCUGACACUGCAAGAAUUCAGGCUAAAUAUAUCAGACGCCCCCUCGGCCUCCGCCCCCUACCCCCCCUGCAUGCAGCCAUGUUCACGGGCAUCCAGGGCCUCUCAGCAAUGCCAGCUGAGGGCUGGCUCCUUCGGCCUGGCAUCUGAGAGUCUGGGCAGGAAUUGCUUGUGUCCCAAACAGACCUCUCUGCUAUUCCGAAGAGUAAUCAGACAGAAAACUCACUCUGAACAUUGUUAAUAUCCAUCUAUCCAUCCAAUCAUCCCUCCAUCUUCUCAUCCUGGUCAGGAUAACUGGGGAAUAUUUUGGGAAUGAAAAAUAAUCCAAAAUCCAUCCGUCUUCUAAAGCCUCAUCCUGGCCAGGAUCAGUUGGAGCUCAUCCCAAGGAACACAGGCCACACGACUGGGCAUGCCAUAAACAGGAUGUUUGUUCAUUACGGCGCUGUAAAUAUGUAUUCAGCCAUAAAUUAAUUUUUAUAGAUGGUGGAAACAUGAUUAUAUUUUGAAAAGUUCUCCAGGGGUGGUGGGUUAAUGACUGCACCCUGCCGCCAUGCUUUUCUCUCAUCUGUAUAUGCGUCUGUCCCAAAAGUAGAGCAUGAUGGGAUGUGUGCAAAACAUUCCAUAAACAUUCCAUAAGCAUUCCAUUAAAGCAUCAUACCUGUUAAGAGUAAA